rnacentral:lncRNA from 1 species
UCCUUUUUCAAAAUGGUUUUGACACCUUAAUGCUAGUUUGCCAACAGAGAUUCCGGCUAAGGAAUUCUGUUGACCGAGGGAAAGGUGUUAGGCACCCCUCGAUCCCGUGGUUUGACCAUGGUCGCUUGGCAGAGCGUAUCGGCUAACUUGACAUUACAAAUGCAUAAACCACACAAAGCACGCAAAAACAAUCACUCAAGCAAACAAAAUAAAAUAAUCUAAAAUAUAAUGUCCAGUCCAAUUAUACAGUCCCGAAAAAUGAAAAAUGCAAAAAUGUAAACCUAUUCUAUUCUAAAAUAAUCCUAAACUACUCCUAUGCUUUACCCGACGCCUCGGACCUUCAUCACGGAUGUCCUCUGAAUACAAAAUACCUCGAGCCGUUCCCCGGAUAAAAAUAAUACAAGUACUUCGGGGCAUUCCCUGGCCAAAUGAUACAAGUGAUCCCUAAGCAAUAUAGCCAAGAACCAUUCAAUCACACAAAUCGAAUAUUCCAUCAAUCCACAAUCCCUAAAUUCGCCUACCCGACCUAUGUUUCCUAUCAAGAUUUUGAUUUAAAAUGAUUCUAUCAAAUUCAUACUUAAUCCGAAUUAAAUAAAAUGACAACGGUCCAAAAUUUAACUCCAUUCAACAUUUUAACAACUUCUUAUUCCCACCCCGAAAUCCUUUUUCAACCAAAAACUAACACAUGCUUUGACUAUCAACUUAAUUUUUCAACUCGGAAUCCAAUAUAAACAACAUAGACCCAACGACAAUUAAAGCAUGAUAAUCAUACGAAUUUAACGUGAAUAACAUCAAACAUUCACCAACUCAUCCAAUUUCAAACAUGCCCAAUUCAACAAAUUACGAUAAAGAUGAGAGAAUGAGUUAAAGAAAAUGGACCUUCCGAUAAUCAAUUUUGGUGGGUAAUAAUAUUAAAGAAGACCCGCACUUGAAAUCUCAAAUAGAAAACCUCGAUUGCGAUGAAUCCAACUCGGUAUAGAGAAAAACUAAUCCAAAAUAGAGCACGAAGAACUGACUAACACAAAUCCAAACGCAGUACCCAACAUUGAAUGGUGUUGAAACCAAUUUCGGAUGAACAAAAAAGGGUAAGGUUACUGUUGUUCACCUGAGGGUCGUGAAUCGAUCCAGACAAGUUCCAAACCAGCAAGAAUAAACUCAAUUCGACCUCCUAAAUUUAUAAUUUCGAACAGAACUACGAACACAAAACUCCAAUACACGACAGAGCCAAAGGACAGUAUACCCGAGCUUCGGUGAGCUCAGGUGGCGGCAAAGAAGAUGAAUCGAGGUAGAUUUCGGUUACUUUUGACGUUUACCAACCGGGUUUGCCUGGAAAUAAAAAAAAUGAUGAGAGAGAAAAAAUGGAGAUUUUGGAAUUGGAACGAGGGAACGAUGAACCUAACUGAUCCCGGCAAAAUUUAGCCGAAAAAUCUCGAAGAAAUUGACCGGAACUCCCUCGAAGCUCUCUUCAUUUUUCAGUUUACUCACCUUAUACGCAUGUGAUUUCGUGCAUAGAUCUGCAAGAAAGAUGUGUGAGCUAUUGGAAUGGUGAGGAAGUUGUCCGUUAAUGGUGAGGUUAAUGGUGUAUUGUGUAGAAGAGAAAUAUGGAGAUGAUGAUGUGGGUUUGUAUAUUGUUGUUGUAUAUGAGGUGUGAAUCUGUGUGUUUCUUGUUCCCUAUGUGUGUAUGUAUAUAUGAAAGGUGAUAGUGUGAGGGGUCACGUGGGUGGGUAGUGGGGUAGGGUGUGGGGUGGUGAUGUGUUGUCCAAAA